rnacentral:lncRNA from 1 species
GACUUUAAGAAGCAAGAUAGUAGUGUAAAAAUACACAUUCAGAGUUUGGUCAUGGUGAAGGCAGCACAAAUAUCACUGUGGAAAUUAAAUUCUUUUCUCUGCAGAAGGGCAGCACAAACCCAGCAUGCUUACUGAUGUACCGCCAAGUCUCCUAUGGCUGUUCCUUACCUAGUAUCAAAUAUUACCAAGGAUGAGUGAAGCAGUCCACCUAUCCACCUUAUUUGUCAUAAGUGACCUUGAUUUGUUCAAAACUAGCAGGUUUCACCCUUCUUAGGGAGAUGGAGAGGAAUUGUUGUUGGGGCAUUGUGACAGUGCUGGACCUGAGGUCAUGUCAAGUAGAACCGAGUCUACUUUCAGAUGACAAAACUAUUUUAGUCCAUAGAGGACUAUUAGUAGCAACUGGUCUUACAUUUGUUAACCAAGACUUCCAAUUCAAUUCAAAUCAGAAUCUUUCCAGUAUGUAGAUAGCUGGAAGUGAGGGAACAAGAUUUAUCUUUAAGAACAGCUGAACAAGAAAGCUGCAUUUUUUGUGUAUUUUUGUAUACUAAUAAAGGACUAAAUCAACUUAGACAACUUUUGGAGAAUGCAAACAGUGAGGAAGUUUACAAGCAAGAGGUGAGUUACAAUUUUUAUUGAUGUUUUUUUUUGUUAAAAGAACUUAGAAAAAGAAUAAGAAAAUUUCUUCUUUGUUACUUGUUUGUUUCAGUUUUUUGUUAGCUUACUUUGGAAUUGGCAAGGAGGAACUGAUGCUCUCUUUAGCUCAAAAAGCUACCAACUUCACCUUGCUCCACAAUGGUGAAAAGAUAAUAGGGCAAAGUAGCACACAUUUGUAUAUAAGUAGUUUCUUCUGAAAUAACAGGAGAUCCACAAAUGAUUUCUGAGUUUGAGUAGCGGCUGUACUUAAACAUCUGUUAAAAAGCUGUAUGUUUAUUUUGAGUAUUAUCCUUUAAUGUAGAGAGUACCACAUCCAAGCAGUGAGUUUAAUAACUCAUGAAAACUUUAACAGAUGAACUCUAUUAAAUAUAACACCAAAUGUACUGAGAACUGCAUUAUUCCACUUAAAUAUUCAGAUUAAUAAAAAUAUAUAUAAAAUAAAAAUAAUAUGCAAUGUGGACUUACACAAAAUUUGUCAUACCUUUAAAUGCAGUUUGCAGUAUACUGAGUUGUAGUGCAAUCUAAAUGUUGACACUUUCAAUGAUAAAGAAAAUUACAUAUUUUGCUAUUUCUUUGUUUCCCCAUUUCUUAAAAAUGCUGAGUUGUUUUUGAUACAGAAAUGUAUUCAUUUCCAUCUCAAUUCCUUCAUUAUGAGAAUCAGAAAAGGGGUCCAAGUGAAUCAUGUGAAACAAUCAUGCAGAAGUAUCUUGAGGAAUGAGCUGCAUAAUUCCCCUGCUUCAUCAUUUGAACUGCAUGGUCCUGUUUCAAAAUCUAGGACAUUAUAAAUCACAUAUCAGGAAAGGAAAACAGUCUGCAAUGUUCACUUCCCUGGAGCCUUCCAAUAUAUCUUAUGUCAGCAGUAAGGCUUUAAUUGACCAGCAUUUCUAAAGUCAAACAAGAUUGUAAUGUGGUUUCAGUUGCACUCUAGCUUGACUGUUUGUGGGACAUGGUUGCUGCUUUCUGCCAAUUGGCUGGGCAGAGCAAGACCUAUUAAUGGAUGUUGUACAUACAUAUACAUUGUAUAAUGUAUGUAAUGUACAUACAUUAUUCUAGGCAUCUCCACUUUUGCAUGAUUAAGAACUUGUUAUUUAAGCAUACUUGAAAUAUUGUGUUUUUACAUCUAAGAUACUUAAGCAAUUUACAAAUAAUAAAAAAAAAGAUUUUUCAGUGAAUACUGAACUAGACUUCAGGAUAACUGAAAAACAAAAUGGCUGCACUGUAAAAAGUGUGCAUAACAUAACCCUUGCAGGUAAGGAAAAUUACUCCUAAUAUCUCCCUAUUUCCCCUUGCUAAUCGCCCUUCUAAAGACUGAGUUAAAUGUCAUAAUCAUUCCUCUUUCUUCAACUCUGUAUCUUUUUGAAUAAUGUCCUUUCCAUGUCUCCCUAUAAAGCUCUGAGAAUAUGCUCAUGUGUCGGUGAUGGAGCACUCUGUGCAGCCAGCCUUGUGGGAAACCAGGACAGGACAGAGCACCUCUUUUGCACAGGACUGUGAGCCCCCCACGCAUGGGGGACCUGGACUGGCUGCUGUCACAGUUCCACAUAAACUGACGUAGGCUGAGGCAUGGAGGUUUGUUUGGUUUUCUGGGAGGUGUAGAAUUACUGUGUUUAUGUUCCCACUGCUUAUUCCCACUAGCAGCUUGCAAAGACACACUCUGGUUUCCUUCCCAUGGGUGGGAGCUGUGCCACUGCCCAGCUUCUUCUACAGAACUGGAGUUGGUCUGCUAUUGGUGUCUCAGAUGGGAAUGCUUUCUCAUAAUGACUAAACAGAUAAAGAUAGUCAGGAGAAUGUCAGAUUUACUUAGCACUUUCUUUUAUACCUGUGAAAAUGAAAGCACAGUUGUCUUAAAAUUCUGUAAUUUCUGGUGGGGUCCUAAACUAUUAAAAGAUGUGAAAUCUAAAUUUGUCUGAUUCAAAACCUUCAGAUAUUUUUCAUCAGUUGUGUAAUUAAAGAAAAAAAAAACACAAAAAUAACAGGUACAAUACUUGACUAAGUAACAAAAAGUCCCACAUCCUUCUAGUGAAAACAAUCCAUGUCAACAAGUUGACUAUGAGUUGAGUAUGACUGCUGCCAACAACUCAGAAAGUAUUGGUUAGCAGUGUGAAAUACAGCUUCUAAUGUAUUAUUCCAGCUUGGAAAUGAGAAGUCUUAGAGUAAGGAGGGGUCAGAAAUCUCACAGAUGCAUUCAACAAAGGAAGAUGGAACCAGAUAUGUCUCAGAAGUUUACAGCAAAAGGACUAAAACUACCAGUGUCAGAAAGGUAAAUUCCUGUUGGAUAUCAGGUAAGUUAUUCUGGCAGUGGGAAUGGUUACAUGCUGCAAGAGAUUGCUCAGUGGUGUUGUCCCUGGAAAUGCCUGAAACUUGCUUGGACAGCAUGCCAGGAAACUUCAUCCAACUUAUAGCUGGCAUUACUUUGUCCAGGGAAUUAGUCCACAUGACCUUUAGAUGUCUCUUCUAACUUGAACUAUCCCGUGAUUCCAGAAGUCCAACACUCAUCAAUUCCCUUUCUGCUUGUUAUAAAAGACAAUGAAGACACACUGGCUUGGGUCACUAGCCAUCCUUUAGUACCGAAACAUUUGAAGAUCUGUUCAUCAGAGGCGCAAAUGAGAAGUACAAAUAACUGUUUUCUACAAGGUAGUACACAAGGAGUAUCUUGAGAUCAGAUAUAUUUUUUGCCAGCCAACUCCUACAGGUGAUAAUCUGAAGUGCCCUUCAGAUGACAGGAUAUAUCAUGUGCUUUUACUGUACGUAAUGGUCACCUCCUGUGCUACUUUGAGAGUAAUGUCUUUUUUACUGUGUUGUAGGUUAUAUUUCUUAGGUAUAAAAUUCAAACUAUAAUAUUAUCCUUUGGUGUAUUUUAAAAUGUUGUAAUGUAAAAGGCACUUCCUUAACAGAAAUCCACAGGAAGCUCCUAUUUAACCUUUUCCUUUGAAAUUUGGGAGGGAGAAUGAGGAGAAAAAGAAGGAUCAGUAAAAAAAUUGUCAUUUUUGAAGUAGAACUGAGGGAAGAAGAAAGUGAACAGGUUGCUCUCUCUCUUGUGUUUUGCUGUUCACCCUUUUAUCCUCUUCCAUGUCCAUCUAUGUAUUCUUUUAACAAUCUCCCUUGUGUUCUUUGAAGUCAGUGUUUUGUUCAUCCCAAUAUCCUUGCUUUGUUUUCCUAUAAAUAGCAUUUAAUGAGGGUGACUGAUAGCAUGUAAUCAGGUUGUCGGUGAUCAUCACUGCCUUGUUUCAAAUAUUUGGAUAUUUGCACAAAAUUGCCUCUCUUAUACUUUGUAUGAACAUCAUGUUCAUUAAGUCAAGCCUUAUACAACCCAUACCAUAAACCUAUCCAAUUGGGUCCCUAGCCAUAUUUAUAGCCUUCUCUUUUCCCAAGUGACCUCCAGGUUUCAGCAUCUUGCUGCAUAGUGAUCAUCAGUGGAUAGAGUGUUUCUUAGUUGGAUUUUGUGUUAUAAGUACCUUUUAUCUCUGUAAGAGGCCUUCAAAUUGUAAAUUCUCUACAGAAGCACUCUUCCAUUUUAUGGCCAUGUGCAUUUCAUUUAGGAGCAUGUACAAAAAUAAAUAAAUAAUAAUGUUGUAAUAGUAGCAGUUAAGUUUCUCAACAACUUCUAAAUGUAGAUGGAAGAGUCCAUAAAAACAAUGCCAAAAGGUUUGGCAACCUGCUAAAACAAAACUACGGGGCAUUUCAGUUGAUUGCAUUCUCUGCUGGGGAGAAAAUACUGGCAAGCAUGUUUACCACUUAUGAUGAAAAUUGCUUGACAUUUAAGCAGCUAACAGUGAAACAACCUAAGCAGAGCCUACCUAGAGCCAACCUGCAUGAGGUGCCUGUCAGACUUUUCAGGUCUCACCUGGGAUCCGCAUCUAAGAGCACCCAGGGCCAGAGGCUCUUAAAAGCACAAUUGAUGAUUUCCAGGAGCCUUAACUUGGGGGCCCUGAUCACUGGGAAUGCUAUCUUGACCCUCUAAGCCAUGCCAAAGGCUAGUUCCCAGGAGUGACUCUGAGGUGAUUCCACAUGAUUGACUGAAUUCUGUUCUAAUUUGCCACUUACUGACAAGGAAAAAGGUGGCUCUUGAUCUGUUGUUCCAAGGAAAUGUUAAGUUAAAUGUUAAGGACACAAUUUGCCAAAGUUUCCAACAGUUUGGCUUGAGUUCCCUGAGCCUCUUGUCAGCUCAGCACUCAUGAAGGGCUGUUUAUGACAAUACCCUGUACAGUGCCAUAUGCAAGUAAAAUAGUGGCAUGUUCUGUCCUUUCUUUGUGGUUGUUAAGGAUCACACUGUGGCUUUGUGCAGCUCUGCUUCAUCCCAUCUUGCACAAUAUUCCCACUUCUCUGCUUUUAGCACAGGGUAAAUGAGUGUUCAGAAGAAUGCUGCUUUUUUUUUUUUUUUUUUUUUUUUUUUGGUUGGUUGGUUGGUUGGUUGCCUGCUUGCUUGCUUGCUUUUUCUCUCUUUAUUACAAUUGGAAAGCAGAACUAGUGAUGGAUGGAGAAUGAGGAGAAAUUGGUCCUCCUUACCACCAGUAAAUAAGAAUGCUAAUGUCAAUGCAUGUAACUUUAACCUAAAUCUUAGAAGGAGCAUUUUAGGGCAAAAGUGUCAGCUAGAGGAAAACAGAGAUAAAAGUCCCACAUCCUAGCAUUUGUUCCAGAUUCAGGACAAAGCAACAGCAUACCAGUUAAAAGCUGAAAUCAUUGCAAUCUUUCUAGACUUCCACCUGGGCUCCAUGGAUGGUGUGCAGUAUUUCAGGUAUCUCACGCUUUGUGUCCACUGCUGUGUUAAAAUUGUCAAGAGAAGAAAAGAAGAAAGCUCUGGGCUGAAUCAUAAAGCAGUAGUCAUUGGAGAUCAGAAACUUCAAUAUGAAAAGAUGUGCCAGGUUGAAAAGCCAGUGAAAGAGAUCCAGGGUGCAGCGGCAGAGCAGAAAUGGCCAUGAUGGAAUGAAAAUUCAGCAUAUUCUCCCAAAAACCUCAAUACUCCCUGAGCACUCUCAUUGCCACAGUCAGCAUGCACAGGGCAACAGUUCAGAUGUGUGUGGUCAGCAACUGUUUUGUAGACCAAAAAAAAAGCAUCAACUGAAAAUGUUCUACGAAGGAGAACAUUUCUACUCACACAUACAUAAGCUUGUGUGUACACAUGGCAACGUAUGUAGACAUUUACGAACAUGCUUUCCAUAUGGCAAUUAAUACCUUGAAAAUUCCCUGGCAAGACUCCAUGAUUGGAAAAUGGAUUAACAACAUCUCCUCACCCCCUAAGUAAUAAUAGUAAUAAAAGAAAACCUAAAAAACAAGCCACUGUUCAGUAUAAUUCUCUGUAUUUUUUUAAAAUACCAUGACUUUUUUGUGUAUAGCCCAUUAGAAAAGGAGCAUGGAAGAUAAACAGGUCCCUGUAUUGUUGUUUGUUAGUUUAUUUCCCUUGAGUCUUUUAAAAGCCAGAGCCUGAUUUAGCAAUUAGUGUUUGUACUUGCAUGUCUUCUGCAAUUAGCUAAUACAGCAAAUUAGGGAAUAAGAAAUAAACAUUAUUAUGAAAACCAAAUAUUAACAUAAAAUAAAACAUACCUGAUGAAAAAUUGAUGUUGUUGAGUCACUCAGAAAACAUACUUUGCUGUUAAUGACCAACAAUAAUUCCAAAUAUAUGUUAUUGUUUCCUUUAUAAUACAGUUCUCCCUUCAUAAUGCAAAUCCUUAUUAAAACACUUUGUUAAGCCUUGGAAAAGAUAUUACAUGACAGCACUGUUUCAUAAGAAUUUCUUCUAACUUGUAGAAAGAGAAAUGAGAAUUUGAAUGGUUUGUCUCUUAAAACAGCUGCUGAUAAGUGUAUAUUAAAAAAAAAAAAAAAAAAAAGGAAAGGAACAAUUAUUUUACACAGAAUAUUCAAUCAGAUGGUAGAGUUCACUGUGAUCAUCAAACCAGACAGGAUUUUGUAGAGGCACAUAAUGUUAUGUGACAGAGGAUACCAUGUUUGUAAUUACACAGACAUAAUGCUGUUGGCAUCCUCCUGGUUUGCAGAAGUGGAGCUACAAUUGGCAAGAUAUGUUUAUAGAAAGAAGCAUACUACAACAUAACGCCUGAGGCAGGAGGUUGAUUUUAAGAAAGGGUAGUGAGCUGUGAUACAGAAACACAUCCUCAGCAUUAGAACACUUGGAACAGGCUCCAGUCCCAACUGCAGCUGCUUAUUGCAGUUUUUCUAUGACAGCAUUCAUAGCUGCCUGUGAAUAUUCAUUUUCUGCCUUAAUUUUAUUUGCCUAGGCAGCUUAUAACAGCAUGGAGAUUUAUUUACAAACAAGAAGACGCUUUUGGAAUGAAUCACCGAUUGGCAUUUCAGUCUGCACUGAAAUGUUUUUGUUACCAAGAAAAAGGGCAGGCCAAAGCUUCAUAUCUUCUUGAUGUUCCUUUCACCCUUGUCCUCGACCAUGUUCUUAAAGACCUUUCUGCCUGAAGAGUUUUUUUAUACUUUAAGAGGGAAGGGACGAUGCACCAUUAUUUGAGAUGUAUUUAAAGCUGAAAACACUUAAAGGUAACAACAUGGAAAAAUGCAAUCCUUAAAAAGCCAACAAUUAAUGUUACAAGUCUCCAAUCUAUAAGAAUGCUCCAGGAUUUAAGCAAUUGUUUUAUGAAAUUUUAGAAUUCUCUGUCAUCUAGAAAUUCUAGAAAACUCUGGAAUGCCACAAGGAAGUCAAACAACCAGAUUAUUGUAUCCAUAGCAAUCACACUUUUAUUACAAUUCCUCAGAGUCCAUAGUGGGUCUCUUAACGUCCAUGCAUGAGGUGCACUAACACCACCACAUGAUCGCUUGGAGCUCCACAGACAGAAAACAGCCCUAAUGUUAGGUCCCUGAGGAUGACAAGUAUUCCUUUCUUUUCCUGAAGGAACAUUCCUGCUCUAAGUGUGCUUCUCAGACUUCUGGAGUCAUUCAAGGUUCUAGCAUCAUUGAAGUACAGCAAGAAAACUGUUUCAGAGCCUUUUCCAACAGAUCAUGGUCUUAACAGCAUCAGAAAUUCUUCAUAAAAGCACAG